rnacentral:rRNA from 1 species
CCUACGGGGGGCUGCAGUGAGGAAUAUUGGUCAAUGGACGAGAGUCUGAACCAGCCAAGUAGCGUGAAGGAUGACUGCCCUAUGGGUUGUAAACUUCUGUUCUUAGUGAAGAAUAAUGACGGUAGCUAAGGAGCAAGCCACGGCUAACUACGUGCCAGCAGCCGCGGUAAUACGUAGGUGGCAAGCGUUGUCCGGAAUUACUGGGUGUAAAGGGAGCGCAGGCGGGAAGCCAAGUCAGCUGUGAAAACUACGGGCUUAACUUGUAGACUGCAGUUGAAACUGGUUUUCUUGAGUGAAGUAGAGGUUGGCGGAAUUCCGAGUGUAGCGGUGAAAUGCGUAGAUAUUAGGAGGAACACCGGUGGCGAAGGCGGCCAACGGGGCUUUAACUGACGCUGAGGCUCGAAAGUGUGGGGAGCAAACAGGAUUAGAUACCCCGGUAGUC